rnacentral:rRNA from 1 species
CGUGCCUUUUGCAUAAUGAACCUACGAGUUACCAUCACAGGCAAGGUUAAGUCUCACGAGAGACGCAACCGCAGUGAAAGCGAGGCUGAACAGGCCGUCGAGUCUGUGGGGUAGACGCGAAACCAAGUGAUCUACACUUGUCCAGGUUGAAGUCCCGGUAACACGGGAUGGAGGACCGAACCAAUAAGCGUUGAAAAGCUUCUGGAUGAGAUGAGUGUAGGAGUGAAAGGCCAAUCAAACUUGGAGAUAGCUCGUACUCCCCGAAAGGCAUUUAGGUGCCGCGUCGGACGGUCAGCGUGAGAGGUAGAGCGACCGAUAGGACAAGAGGGCUUCACCGCCUAUCGAGUCCUGACGAACUCCGAAUGCUCAUGCUCCGCAGUCCGGCAGUAAGGGGACGGGUGCUAAGGUCCGUUCCCGAGAGGAGAAGAAUCCAG